AUUGAACGCUGGCGGCAGGCCUAACACAUGCAAGUCGAGCGAGCGGCGGACGGGUGUGUACUGUCUGGGGAUCUGCCCGAUCGAGGGGGAUCACUACUGGCAACUGUGUCUAAUACCGCAUACUAUCGGAUGCCCCCAUCUGGGAUUAGCUAGUAGGUGGGGGAAAGGCUCACCUAGGCGACGAUCUCUAGCUGGUCUGAGAGGAUGAACAGCCACACUGGGACUGAGACACGGCCCAGACUCCUACGUGAGGCAGCAGUGGGGAAUAGUGCACAAUGGGCGCAAGCCUGAUGCAGCCAUGCCGCGUGUAUGAAGAAGGCCUUAGGGUUGUAAAGUACUUUCAGCGGGGAGGCGUUACCCGCAGAAGAAGCACCGGCUAACUCCGUGCCAGCAGCCGCGGUAAUAC
rnacentral:rRNA from 1 species